rnacentral:rRNA from 1 species
AGUGAACGCUGGCGGUAGGCCUAACACAUGCAAGUCGAACGGCAGCACAGUAAGAGCUUGCUCUUACGGGUGGCGAGUGGCGGACGGGUGAGGAAUACAUCGGAAUCUACUUUUUCGUGGGGGAUAACGUAGGGAAACUUACGCUAAUACCGCAUACGACCUACGGGUGAAAGCAGGGGAUCUUCGGACCUUGCGCGAUUGAAUGAGCCGAUGUCGGAUUAGCUAGUUGGCGGGGUAAAGGCCCGCCAAGGCGACGAUCCGUAGCUGGUCUGAGAGGAUGAUCAGCCACCCUGGAACUGAGACACGGUCCAGACUCCUACGGGAGGCAGCAGUGGGGAAUAUUGGACAAAGGGCGCAAGCCUGAUCCAGCCAUACCGCGUGGGUGAAGAAGGCCUUCGGGUUGUAAAGCCCUUUUGUUGGGAAAGAAAAGCAGCAGGUUAAUACCCCGCUGUUCUGACGGUACCCAAAGAAUAAGCACCGGCUAACUUCGUG